rnacentral:rRNA from 1 species
GUCUACGGCCAUGCUACCCUGAACAAGCCCAAUUGUGUCUGACCUCGGAAGCUAAGCAGGGUCGGGCUUGGUUAGCACUUGGAUGGGAGACCACCUAGGAAAACCAGGUGCUGUAGGCG